rnacentral:lncRNA from 1 species
UUUUUUUUUUUUGGACCACUUCAAACAACUGCUUUGGAAGGAGUUCAUGUGUGUGUUUCUGUAUGCUCCAAUCUCUGAUCAUGUAGGCUCUAUUUGGGUCAACUAAACAGGAUCUUGGACUCUUUUCACAGACUCCCUUAAUUAACAAGGAAAUGAAAUUGACACCCCUGUGAGAAAACUAGAACUCUUUAGAGAAUCCAUUUAAUUCUUUGGAAGUAAACACUAAUCUCAUAUUAUAAUUCUAACUUCAGAGAUCUUGUGAUCUUUAUGCCACUAGGAGAAUUUCAUAUGUGAUACUACCUUUCAGGGAGUACCCAGAAAUGUUUCUAUAUGACACACACUCUUCCUUUCAAAGAAUAUCUUGGUAAAAAUGUAGUGACUACCUCAAAACAAAACAAAACAUAACAAAACAAACAAACAAACAACAACAAAAAAAAAACAGCAUGAUAAAAAUACCUCCUUCUUCAACAAUCGCGCAGUAUCUGCUUUGUAUCAGGGUUUAGCUACAGUCCAGUAAUACAAAUCCCUUAAUACUGAUUUCCAGGCCCUUUUCACCUCAUGAACUUUGUUUCUCCCACUGCUUUACCACCUCCAAUCCCUCCCAUAAUAUACUUCCAGUUUCCUGAACACAUCAUGCUUGUUCUUGCCUACAGGGCUUUGCAGAUGCUGAUUCUUCUGCUGAGAAUUCUCUUCUGUUCUUACUUUCCCUGUUUGGCUGACUGAAUUCUACUAUGCUCAGGGCUCUCCUUGAACAUGUGUCUUUUCCUCAGUGAGAAUUUCCUGAUUGCCCAAUUCUGCAUUCAAUGACCCUUCUAUAUAUUCCCAUAGCACCUUGUUUUUACCCUGUCAAGGUCUUUUUCACACUGCAGAAUGGCUUCUUUAUUUGUCUGUACAACCCAGGAGAUUGUAAUGGAAGGCAAGGGUUGUCGCUCAUUCUAUUUAGUAUUGUAUGGCUCAGCAUCUAGCAUAGUGACUAAUACAUAAUAGAUGCUUAACAGACACUUCUUGAUUGAAAAAUGAUGACCAGCAUUUAUUGUAUCUAUUAUUUCCCAGGAACUGAGUUGGGCACCUUAAACAUGUUAUAUCUACUGCUUACAUCAAUCACAGGGUGUACAUAUUAUUAUUUUCAUUUUAGAUAUGAGGAAAGGGAAGUGUAAAUAGAUUAAAUAAGCUAUCUAGGAUCUGCACUUUCUCAGCAACAAAGCCUGUACUUUCUCUCAUUUUAUAUAGCACCUCCAAGAAGACAGUAUCCCAGCACAUAUUUUAACCUCUGUUAGAACGAACAAAUAAAACUAUUUAUAUGCAAAGCACGUAAAGAUUCUUAACUAGUUUGGCUUGAAAUGUUUUAAAUUUGAUAAGACAGUUAUGAGACUUCAUAGCAUUUAUUGGCAAGCCCCUCCAAGCAUAAUUAAAAUUACCCUUCCAUGCUUGCUCUAUGAAGGAGUGUUUUCUUCACCAAUGCUUAUAUUCUAAAGCAAAUCACCUUGAAAGAAAUAGGAAAAAAGGAGUCAGAGAUAAGUUCAGUACAGUCUUUCCAUUAACCUUAUGUGCAAAUAAAUGACUAAAUAUAGACACUACCCAGUGGAGAUUUCAUUGUUCCCAGUUCCUUACAUAGAGUGUUUGUGACACUCCUAAUAAUAGUAAUAGUAAUAAAAAUCCUGUUAGAUUGGAAUAGAGGUUUACAAAGUGCUUUCAUCUACAUCAUUUUAUUUCUCAAAUUUAUCUAUAAGGAAGAAAGGGCAUUGUAGUUAGGCUUGAUAGCAGGAACAUGAAGUUCAGAAAAGUUAAGAGCUACUGAGACAGUAGUGAAAUGUGCCCUCAAGGCUUCCUACUACAGGGAACCUGGAUUAUGACUUCCACAGCCUAUGUGCUGUAUGCAGGUAAUGACUAAGUAUAGCUGGGCUACCAAGGCAGACCCUAUUUCUGGAAGGCAUGAGUCCCAUCAGAUGGCCUCCUUUGGCUCAUGCUUCCUCAAUGCAUCUGUUAAAACCACCUGAGCCUGUACUGCAAUCCAGACACUUUUCACCCAGGCCCACUCUUACUCUCUCCUUGACUGCAGUUCACGCUUGCAGCUCAGUUGGUGUACUUCCAGCUUUCUCCCCUAUUUUCAAUCACAUCCAUUUCCAUUAACUCAAUGUUUGCAUGUUUAUUACCAUUGUGGUAUCUGUUUCUAGGAGAACCAGACAAAUGCAGCUGGCCCUGUUUUAUGUGUAGCACAACUAGACCUCAUGGCUCAUGGCUAGGAAAAUUACUUCUUUAUAGCAAUCAUAGUAACAUUAAACAAUGUUAAAUGUAGAGAGAAAUUUGAAUCAGGGAGUAGGCUAUUCACACCAUUUCUUAAAGUAUACUCCUGAAAGUUACUUGGAAUAAAGGAAAAGUAGUUACUACACCAGGGAGAAAUAAAACAGUAUCUCGAUGGAUUGAUCAAUAUGGCAGAUGGAUAUACAUCUAUAUGUGAUACUCCUGAGAGGUUUACAGUACCACCCACCUAGUAUUCCAGGUGGAAAUGUGUAACCUGAAUCUAAUCAUGAGGAAUCAUCAGAAGAGGAGGAGGAGGAGGAGGAGGAGGAGGAGAAGGGACAGGAAUGUCCUAUUUUUAAAAGAAGGAAAUGCUAUUUAAAAAAAAUAAAUGACAUAAAAGACACACACAUGCAAAAGCCAUGGAAAUUUCCCAGAUUAAAGAAGACUAAAGAGGCAUAAUAAUUAAGUACAAUAUUUAUCCUCAACUUGAAACUAUACCAUAAGAAAAAGAAUGUCAUAAAGGACAUUAUUUGGCUGAUGACAGUGAAAUAUGGAUAAUAUAUAAGAAAAGUGUUAUAUUAUCAUAUUUAAUGUAAUUGGUAACUAUUUUGGAUUACAUAAGAAAAUAUCCCAGUUUUCAGAAUAUACACUGAACUAUUUUGAAUCAAAGGGCUAUGAUAUAUGCAAUUUAUUCUCAUAUGAUUCAGAAACCAAAAUCAUAUGUACAUAAAUAGAUGACUAGGUACAUAGAUAAUAUGUGAAUGUAAAAGAAAGGGAGAGAGAGUACACAAAUUGUAUAGCAAAUGGAAUAAAAUGCUAACAAUAGGUUGCUCUAGGUAAAAGGUACCGGGUGUUCUUUGUACUAUUUUUUCUUACCUUUUUUUUCUUUGUACUAUUCUUAUUCUUGCAGCUUUUCCAUGAAUUUGAAGUUACUUUCAAAUACAAUGUAAAAUAUUUUAUAUAACCAAAAGCUUUGGAAUAACCAACCAAACACAAAAAUAAAAUAAAUAAAAUAAAAGCAGAGAGGAGUAUGACAUGUAUGUUUUCUAACUGAAAAGAUGCAAUUUGCCUUCCAGGGCUCACCAUGCCAUACCGGUAGCAUAACACCCCAAGAAGGACUUACCUGGACCCCUUCCUUUCUGGACUCCUAUCAUGCUCCAUCUUAUAC